rnacentral:rRNA from 1 species
UACGUAGGGACCAAGCGUUGUCCGGAAUUAUUGGGCGUAAAGAGCUCGUAGGCGGCUUGUUGCGUCGACUGUGAAAACCCGUGGCUCAACCAUGUGGUCUGCAGUCGAUACGGGCAGGCUAGAAUUCGGUAGGGGAGACUGGAAUUCCUGGUGUAGCGGUGAAAUGCGCAGAUAUCAGGAGGAACACCGGUGGCGAAGGCGGGUCUCUGGGCCGAUAUUGACGCUGAGGAGCGAAAGCGUGGGGAGCGAACAGG